AAUAUUUGACAAUGGGGGCAACCCUGAUCCAGCCAUGCCGCGUGUGUGAAGAAGGUCNNNGGAUUNUAAGGCACUUUAAGUUGNGGGNAAGGGAUUUAGGUUAAUACCCUGAAGUUUUGACGUUACCAACAGAAUAAGCACCGGCUAACUCUGUGCCAGCAGCCGCGGUAAUACAGAGGGUGCAAGCGUUAAUCGGAAUUACUGGGCUUAAAGGGAGCGUAGGUGGUUCAGUAAGAUGGGUGUGAAAUCCCCGGGCUUAAACUGGGAACUGCUUUCAUAACUGCUGAGCUAGAGUACGGUAGAGGGUAGUGGAAUUUCCUGUGUAGCGGUGAAAUGCGUAGAUAUAGGUAGGAACACCAGUGGCGAAGGCGACUACCUGGACUGAUACUGACACUGAGGUGCGAAAGCGUGGGGAGCAAACAG
rnacentral:rRNA from 1 species